GAUUUUAUAUUCAAUUUAUGAUAUUAAAUUGCAAGUUUAAAGGUACAUUUGUUUAAAUGUUAAAAUCU
rnacentral:tRNA from 1 species